UACGUAGGGUGCGAGCGUUAAUCGGAAUUACUGGGCGUAAAGCGUGCGCAGGCGGUUCGUUGUGUCGGCGGUGAAAGCCCCGGGCUCAACCUGGGAAUGGCCGUUGAAACUGGCGAACUGGAGUGUGGCAGAGGGGGGUGGAAUUCCGCGUGUAGCAGUGAAAUGCGUAGAGAUGUGGAGGAAUACCGAUGGCGAAGGCAGCCUCCUGGGAUAACACUGACGCUCAUGCACGAAAGCGUGGGGAGCAAACAGG
rnacentral:rRNA from 1 species